rnacentral:rRNA from 1 species
UGCGCAGGCGGUUUUGUAAGACAGGCGUGAAAUCCCCGGGCUCAACCUGGGAAUGGCGUUUGUGACUGCAAGGCUAGAGUAUGGCAGAGGGGGGUAGAAUUCCACGUGUAGCAGUGAAAUGCGUAGAGAUGUGGAGGAAUACCGACGGCGAAGGCAGCCCCCUGGGCCAAUACUGACGCUCAUGCACGAAAGCGUGGGGAGCAAACAGGAUUAGAUACCCUGGUAGUCCACGCCCUAAACGAUGUCAACUAGGUGUUGGGUGGGUAAAACCAUUUAGUACCGGAGCUAACGCGUGAAGUUGACCGCCUGGGGAGUACGGCCGCAAGGUUAAA